CGAGUUGACUGGGUGAUUGCGUGUAUCUUUAUAUACGAGGAACGUCCGGGCUCCACAAAAGCACAGUGGUGGGUAACGCCCACUCAGGGUGACCUGCAGGAAAGUGCCACAGAAAAUAAACCGCCUGAUUUUAGGUAAGGGUGAAAAGGUGAGGUAAGAGCUCACCGCAUAACUGGUGACAGUUAUGGCAUGGUAAACCCCACUGGGAGCAAGACCAAGUAAGCAUACGUUUGAGUUAGCUUUUGACGAGUAUGUGGGUAGGUUGCUUGAGGUUUUUAACCCUAGAUAGAUGAUCACCGCCUUUUUAGGUACAGAACCCGGCGUAUAGGUCGACUUAGCGU
rnacentral:RNase_P_RNA from 1 species